rnacentral:rRNA from 1 species
GAUGAACGCUGGCGGCGUGCCUAAUACAUGCAAGUCGAGCGAACGGACGCGAAGCUUGCUUCUCUGAUGUUAGCGGCGGACGGGUGAGUAACACGUGGAUAACCCACCUAUAAGACUGGGAUAACUUCGGGAAACCGGAGCUAAUCCCGGAUAAUCUUUUGAACCGCAUGGUUCAAAAGUGAAAGACGGUCUUGCUGUCACUUAUAGAUGGAUCCGCGCUGCAUUAGCUAGUUGGUAAGGUAACGGCUUACCAAGGCAACGAUGCAUAGCCGACCUGAGAGGGUGAUCGGCCACACUGGAACUGAGACACGGUCCUGACUACUACGAGAGGCAGCAGUAGGGAAUCUUACGCAGUGGGCGAAAGCCUGACGGAGCAACGCCGCGUGAGUGAUGAAGGUCUUCGGAUCGUAAAACUCUGUUAUUAGGGAAGAACAUAUGUGUAAGUAACUGUGCACAGCUUGACGGUACCUAAUCAGAAAGCCACGGCUAACUACGUG